UACGGGGGGGGUAAGCGUUGUUCGGAAUUACUGGGCGUAAAGGGCUCGUAGGCGGCCAACUAAGUCAUACGUGAAAUCCCUCAGCUUAACUGGGGAACUGCGUGUGAUACUGGACGGCUCGGAUUUGGGAGAGGGAUGCGGAAUUCCAGGUGUAGCGGUGAAAUGCGUAGAUAUCUGGAGGAACACCGGUGGCGAAGGCGGCAUCCUGGACCAAUAUUGACGCUGAGGAGCGAAAGCCAGGGGAGCAAACGGG
rnacentral:rRNA from 1 species